GCCCAGUGAUGAGACCAAGGCGAAUACGAGCUUGAACUGAAUGAGAGCUGGGUCCUUCUUUCCUUUCUUGGCAGGUAAUCUUGGUAGAGUAGAGGAGCAUUCCUGCUCUGCUGUAAGGGCCUGCCUACAGUGAAUUGGCUCACCCUGAAAGUAUUCCAUUAAAGUUCAAGUGGAGUAAUCACAGAGAUGAAGCUGACAGUGUGUGUGUGUGUGUGUGUGUGGUAUGAGGCAAGGAGUUCACCCAGCCCUCUUUACAUUUCAGUCAGUCAUGAGUUGCUCUUUGGUAAUCUGAGGGCC
ensembl:snoRNA